rnacentral:rRNA from 1 species
AGUGAACGCUGGCGGUAGGCCUAACACAUGCAAGUCGAACGGCAGCACAGUAAGAGCUUGUUCUUACGGGUGGCGAGUGGCGGACGGGUGCGGAAUACAUCGGAAUCUACUUUUUCGUGGGGGAUAACGCAGGGAAACUUACGCUAAUACCGCAGACGACCUACGGGUGAAAGCAGGGGAUCUUAGGACCUCGCACGAUCGAAUGAGCCGAUGUCGGAUUAGCGAGUUGGCGGGGUAAAGGCCCACCAAGGCGACGAUCCGUAGCUGGUCUGAGAGGAUGAUCAGCCACACUGGAACUGAGACACGGUCCAGACUCCUACGGGAGGCAGCAGUGGGGAAUAUUGGACAAUGGGCGAAAGCCUGAUCCAGCCAUGCCGCGUGGGUGAAGAAGGCCUUCGGGUUGUAAAGCCCUUUUGUUGGGAAAGAAAAGCAGCAAGUUAAUACCCCGCUGUUCUGACGUUACCCAAAGAAUAAGCACCGGCUAACUUCGUG